AUAGGUAUAUGAGGGGAACCGCCUGAACUGAAACAUCUAAGUAGGGCGAGGAAGAGAAAUCAACUGAGAUUCCGUAAGUAGUGGCGAGCGAACGCGGAAGAGGCCAAACCUAAUGUAGUAAUAUGUUAGGGGUUCGGACAGUAUAAUGAAUUGUCGAGAUUUAGCCGAAUGUCAUGGGAAGGGCAAUCAAAGAUGGUGAAAAUCCAGUAGGCGAAAAGUUAAGACAUCAGACUGUAUCCAGAGUACCGCCGGACACGUGAAACCCGGUGGGAAUACGGGGGGACCAUCCUCCAAGCCUAAAUACUACUCGGUGACCGAUAGAGAAGAAGUACUGUGAAGGAAAGGUGAAAAGCACCCCGGAAGGGGAGUGAAAGAGAACCUGAAACCUUGUGUUUACAAGCACCGAAAGUUCAUCAACGAACGAUCGGGUACCUUUUGUAGAAUGGUCCGGCGAGUGAAUGUAACUGGCAAGGUUAAGCACUUAAGGUGUGAAGCCGUAGCGAGAGCGAGUCUGAAAAGGGCGCAUGAAGUCAGUUGUAUUCGACCCGAAACCGGGUGACCUACCCAUGUCCAGGCUGAAGUGCAGGUAAAACUUCAUGGAGGGCCGAACCGACUCCCGUUGAAAUGGUAGCGGAUGAGGUGUGGGUAGCGGAGAAAUUCCAAUCGAACCCGGAGAUAGCUGGUUCUCUCCGAAAUAGCUUUAGGGCUAGCCUUGGAAUAGAUUACUGGAGGUAAAGCACUGAAUUGGCUAGGGGCCGAGAGGUUACUGAACCUUAUCAAACUAAGAAUGCCAGAUAAUCGUUUUCCAGGAGUCAGACAGUGGGAGAUAAGUUUCAUUGUCAAAAGGGAAACAGCCCAGACCUACAGCUAAGGUCCCAAAGUAUAGUUAAGUGGAAAAGGAUGUGGAAUUGCAUAGACAACCAGGAUGUUGGCUUAGAAGCAGCCACUCAUUAAAAGAGUGCGUAAUAGCUCACUGGUCGAGUGAUUCUGCGCCGAAAAUUUAACGGGGCUAAACUAUACACCGAAGCUUAGGAUACCGCAAGGUAUGGUAGGAGAGCGUUCUGUACGGAGUGAAGUCGUAGCGAAAGCGGCGGUGGACUGUACAGAAGUGAGAAUGCCGGAAUAAGUAGCGAGAAUUAAGUGAGAAUCUUAAUGGCCGAAAGUCUAAGGUUUUUGGAGGAAGGUUCGUCCGCUCCAAGUAAGUCGGGAGCUAAGGUCAGGCCGAAAGGCGUAGCCGAUGCACAAACGGUUGAUAUUCCGUUACCGUCUACAAUUUAAACAAAGGGACACAUACAAAGCGUUUAACCUGGGCGAUGGUUGACCCGGGCGCAAGGGACUGAAAUUAGAGUAGGGAAGUAAAUGUGGCGUAUGGCGAGAAAAGCUUUGUGAAUAGAAGUAGACGCCCGUACCGCAAACCGACACAGGUGGACAGGAAGAGAAUUCUAAGGCCAGCGGGAGAAGGGUAGUUAAGGAACUCGGCAAAUUGACUCCGUAACUUCGGAAUAAGGAGUGCUCGAAAGAGCCGCAGAGAAUAGGCCCAGGCGACUGUUUAGCAAAAACACAGGUCUCUGCCAAAUCGAAAGAUGAAGUAUAGGGGCUGACACCUGCCCGGUGCCGGAAGGUUAAGAGGAGGAGUGCAAGCUCCGAAUUGAAGCCCCGGUAAACGGCGGCCGUAACUAUAACGGUCCUAAGGUAGCGAAAUUCCUUGUCGGGUAAGUUCCGACCCGCACGAAUGGUGUAACGAUCUGGGCACUGUCUCAACUACCCACCCGGCGAAAUUGUAGUACCGGUGAAGAUGCCGGUUACCUGCGGCAAGACGGAAAGACCCCAUGGAGCUUUACUGUAGCCUGAUAUUGGGUUUCGGAAAUCUAUGUACAGGAUAGGCGGGAGACUGGGAAGUAUGAGCGUCAGCUUAUACGGAGUCAUUGUUGGGAUACCGCCCUUAGGUUUCUGGAAUUCUAACCUGCGACCGUGAAUCCGGUCGGGGGACAUUGUCAGGUGGGCAGUUUGACUGGGGCGGUCGCCUCCGAAAAGGUAACGGAGGCGCUCAAAGGUUGGCUCAGCACGGACGGAAACCGUGCCUCAGAGUGUAAACGCAAAAGCCAGCCUAACUGCGAGGAUGACGGUCCGAGCAGUAACGAAAGUUGGAGUUAGUGAUCCGGCGGUAUGUGAAUGGAAAUGCCGUCGCUCAACGGAUAAAAGCUACCCUGGGGAUAACAGGCUGAUCUCCCCCAA
rnacentral:rRNA from 1 species